AAGUCGUAACAAGGUCUCCGUUGGCGAACCAGCGGAGGGAUCAUUAAUGAGUUUUCUAAACUCCAAACCCUUGAGAACAUACCUAGUUGCCUCGGCGGACUUGCCCUGGGACGACCUACCCUGCAGCGAGUUACCCUGUAACGAGUUGCCCUGUAGCCUGCUCGCCGGCGGCCAACCUAAACUCUGUUUUAUUGUGGCACUUCUGAGGACUAUUCUAAAUGAAUUAAAACUUUCAACAACGGAUCUCUUGGUUCUG
rnacentral:misc_RNA from 1 species